UACGUAGGGUGCAAGCGUUAAUCGGAAUUACUGGGCGUAAAGCGUGCGCAGGCGGUGAUGUAAGACAGUUGUGAAAUCCCCGGGCUCAACCUGGGAACUGCAUCUGUGACUGCAUUGCUGGAGUGCGGCAGAGGGGGAUGGAAUUCCGCGUGUAGCAGUGAAAUGCGUAGAUAUGCGGAGGAACACCGAUGGCGAAAGCAAUCCCCUGGGCCUGCACUGACGCUCAUGCACGAAAGCGUGGGGAGCAAACAGG
rnacentral:rRNA from 1 species